GGCCUGUUCGCACCUAUUAACGUUUUUGUAUUCUUUCCACAUUUACACUUCCACUUUUAUUCUUCGUUUUUAUACUCCUUCUCCAUUUAACAUUUAGAGAAAACCGAAACCCUCCACCACCAUCUCUAUCACCAUCACCACCAUCUGCGUCGCCACUAGCAUCACCAACAGAAAAGAUCUGAGAGAAGCGAUUUUCGAUUGAGAGAGAGAAAUAUGGAGAUCUUCGAUUGUUUGAAAUAAAGCAUCACCAACAAAAGCAGUUCAUCUUCUUCUUCUCCUAUUGUUGGUGAUUUCAAUAUCAGCUAAAGAUUUAGGCGAUCGAGAGGUGUGAUUUUAGGUUUCGAUCUCUGGUAAUUUCAAGCUAAAUAUAAAAUCAAACCAAAACAAAUUCCAUAGAGAGAGCGUUGGAUCAGAUAACCACUAGUGCAGUAUUUAUAUUCAUUGCCAUGUUGCUGGAGAAGCGGGUUUUCAUCCGAUCAAAUAAAUUAACUUAGAUUGUUGACGCCACUAGCGGCGGUGGUGGUGGCGGGCGGUGGUGGGCUGGUGGUGGUGGCGUGUGGUGGUGGCGGGCGGUGGUGG